AACCUACCUAUAAGACUGGGAUAACUUCGGGAAACCGGAGCUAAUACCGGAUAAUAUUUUGAACCGCAUGGUUCAAAAGUGAAAGACGGUCUUGCUGUCACUUAUAGAUGGAUCCGCGCUGCAUUAGCUAGUUGGUAAGGUAACGGCUUACCAAGGCAACGAUGCAUAGCCGACCUGAGAGGGUGAUCGGCCACACUGGAACUGAGACACGGUCCAGACUCCUACGGGAGGCAGCAGUAGGGAAUCUUCCGCAAUGGGCGAAAGCCUGACGGAGCAACGCCGCGUGAGUGAUGAAGGUCUUCGGAUCGUAAAACUCUGUUAUUAGGGAAGAACAUAUGUGUAAGUAACUGUGCACAUCUUGACGGUACCUAAUCAGAAAGCCACGGCUAACUACGUGCCAGCAGCCGCGGUAAUACGUAGGUGGCAAGCGUUAUCCGGAAUUAUUGGGCGUAAAGCGCGCGUAGGCGGUUUUUUAAGUCUGAUGUGAAAGCCCACGGCUCAACCGUGGAGGGUCAUUGGAAACUGGAAAACUUGAGUGCAGAAGAGGAAAGUGGAAUUCCAUGUGUAGCGGUGAAAUGCGCAGAGAUAUGGAGGAACACCAGUGGCGAAGGCGACUUUCUGGUCUGUAACUGACGCUGAUGUGCGAAAGCGUGGGGAUCAAACAGGAUUAGAUACCCUGGUAGUCCACGCCGUAAACGAUGAGUGCUAAGUGUUAGGGGGUUUCCGCCCCUUAGUGCUGCAGCUAACGCAUUAAGCACUCCGCCUGGGGAGUACGACCGCAAGGUUGAAACUCAAAGGAAUUGACGGGGACCCGCACAAGCGGUGGAGCAUGUGGUUUAAUUCGAAGCAACGCGAAGAACCUUACCAAAUCUUGACAUCCUUUGACAACUCUAGAGAUAGAGCCUUCCCCUUCGGGGGACAAAGUGACAGGUGGUGCAUGGUUGUCGUCAGCUCGUGUCGUGAGAUGUUGGGUUAAGUCCCGCAACGAGCGCAACCCUUAAGCUUAGUUGCCAUCAUUAAGUUGGGCACUCUAAGUUGACUGCCGGUGACAAACCGGAGGAAGGUGGGGAUGACGUCAAAUCAUCAUGCCCCUUAUGAUUUGGGCUACACACGUGCUACAAUGGACAAUACAAAGGGCAGCGAAACCGCGAGGUCAAGCAAAUCCCAUAAAGUUGUUCUCAGUUCGGAUUGUAGUCUGCAACUCGACUACAUGAAGCUGGAAUCGCUAGUAAUCGUAGAUCAGCAUGCUACGGUGAAUACGUUCCCGGGUCUUGUACACACCGCCCGUCACACCACGAGAGUUUGUAACACCCGAAGCCGGUGGAGUAACCUUUUAGGAGCUAGCCGUCGAAGGUGGGACAAAUGAUUGGGGUGAAGUCGUAACAAGGUAGCCGUAUCGGAAGGUGCGGCUGGAUCACCUCCUUU
rnacentral:rRNA from 1 species